GUAAAUAAAUAUGUACAGACGAAUAUCAAAAUGUUUAACAAAUGCUGAGUCUCUUCGUCACUUCGUGAAGAGUGCUUAUGAAUACAACUGAUCAGUGCAACUUAGCAAGCGAACGAUGUCCGUUGUAAACGAAAUCAUUCAAGAAAGCUGUCAUGUAUCAUGUAUAAGCGGAGGACAGGCUGCAGUGGUGCUAAUCCUUGUUUUUCUUAUUACAUCAGACCAAAGAGUGGGAAAUUAUAUAAGACACCAUAAAGAUGUAACUGCCGGUCUAAACAAUUUAAUACCGAUUUUCAAAUUUAUUGCUGUUGUCAUCUUGAAAUUGUAUGUGUGGGCAUUAUAUAUCUUACUAAAAUUAUCUGCUAAACUGCUGAAGCUCAUGUUUGUCAUGCUGAAGCUCAUGUUUGUCAAGCUGAGGCGCAUGUUCAGCAGACUUUCCGUUUAAAAGUUUGAAAAAAAGUUUGAUGUAGAUAUAUGUAUGUAUAAGUGUGGAAAAUUCCACUGGCAAUGUUAAUCGAAAGUUUUUUCAAAUAUACAUAAUAAAAAUACAUAUGUACAUAUGUAGGUACAUAUUUGAAGUUUUGCGUUCUAUUUUCAUAUAGUAUGAUUUCGGGAAAGAACCGAUUUCUAAUGAUAUGACAACGUAGAUAAUGAUACCAACACUCUUCUUUCAUACAGAUCAUUGACAGUUGAGAGCGUAAAAUAUAAGUAUAUACGACUUUGACAGUUGACUAGAUCGGUUACGCUACACAACUGCCAACAACAGUAUGGCCAUAUUGAAAUCCAUUCAAAUAACUCAAGUCAACGGAGACAUUUCGAAACGCAGAAAAUCAAAAAAUAAAACUGUAAAACCAUAAAAGCGAAUUAUAACGAAGAAACGUUCCUGACCUUCAGAUGGUUUGUGGUUCAUCAAAAAUUAUGAAAUAGUUUGUGAAUUGACAUUUGACAAGCAUUAAUUAUAUCUAUAAUUGAAAAUUCAUACAAAUAAAAAAUCAAUACAAAUAAAUUGUUCACUUUAUUUAAGCAUUUUUUUUCCUCUGGCAACGCUUUAAAAUAUUGUAAAAUAAUGAGAAUUGUCAAGUGCUCUCACACUAGUAGACGUUUGGCAUAACAUAUUAUCACUUCCCUUUAUGUAUUGGUCAAGCGUUGCAUUUGACAGAGUGAUUCAAAUGCCACAAAGUGCUGCUUUCUCACAAAUUUAGUAUAUAAACGAAAUGAAAAAUCCAUAUUUAUUCGGCAAUAGUUAUAUUUUUUAAAGCAAUGAAAAAGCGUUACAUUUUCUGUUUCUGUUUCAGUUUCUGUUUUAGUUUCUGUUAUCCAUAGAGAGUAACGACUCGAAUAAAAUACACGUUUAAAUUACACCGAUUGUCAUAAUUAUAUAGAGAUUAAAUAUGAAGCGAUUAUACCAUUUUAACAGGGCAUUCCUAAACUCAAGAUAUUGAAUUGAAUAAGAGAACUUUCCUAUUGCUUUCACAAGUGAACUUUAUGUCAAAAGAGCAGAGCUCAAGGAAUGGCUGUGACGAAAGUUUUAUAUAAGAAUUCAAGAUGCUAUUUUCUCUUCAAGAAGCUGCUCAUUUGUCGGAAUUGACGAUAUCGACCACUAUAUCAUAUAGCUGCCAUACAAACUGAACGAUCGGAAUCAAUGGCUUGUAUGGAACACUUCCGCAUUUUACUACAUAUCUUCACGAAAUUUGGUGUGAGUUAUUGUUCAUAGAAAUAAUUUAAUCCCCGAAAAUAUUGUUCAGAUCGGUGCACUAUAGCAUAUAGCUGUCACACAAACUGAACGAUCGGAAUCAAUGGCUUGUAUGGAAAACUUCCGCAUUUUACUACAUAUCUUCACGAAAUUUGCAUAUAGCUGCCAUACAAACUGAACGAUCGGAAUCAAUGGCUUGUAUGGAAAACUUCCGCAUUUGACGUGGUAUCUUGACGAAAUGUGACAUGGAUUACUGUUUAUGGUAAUAGUAAAAUCUCCGAAGAAAUUGUUCAGAUCGGUUAACUAUAUAACCUUAAUGUUUUUUAGCAAACAACCCGGCUAAAAAGAUUUAGUAAAAUGUUUUCUUUUUUUUACUUACUUUUUCUUACAUCUUUAGAUUUGCUUAAACACAUAGUUACUAAAAGAAAUGCACCAGUGAAGGGUAGAUUAACUUCUCAGCCCCCAUUUCCGCGAAUUUGGAUGCGCAAUUAAUUAGGCGGGAAGUUUGAUUAUUUUGUGCUCUUAAUUUAAUUUGGAUAUCUCUUAAUGCGAAACAUGUUAGAAAAUGUGUGUACUUUGGAAAAUUCUAUAAGAAAUUUCCAUUUUAAAUACCUCAUAUAAAUAUUUUAUUUUCCAAAUUGCGACACUUCCGUUCUCCAAAUCAUUCUUCAGGCUACAAGAAUAUAUAAACGUUUUUACUAACAUCCCGGCAUGAUCAAAUUUUAUUGCAAAAACACAUGAAAUUGACUCUCAAACUGUAGGAAAUAAGGGCUUUUAAUUGAAACAUUUGAAGAGUUAGAAUUCUGAAACGACAACACCGAGUCGCGAGUUGGGUGCGGGAGAAGGAAUUAGGGGAACGGCACAUGGAGACAGCGGAGAAGAGAGCUGCAGGCGGACCUGGUAUAGAAGAAGAAUAAGCUAAAGGCGGCGGAAACAGAA